GAGGUACACCCUCCUACAACUAAAGAAAAUGCAUAACAGAAUUACAUAAGUGGAGGAUAACAACCUCCUAAAACUUAGAAAAAUGAAAAGAGUGGAGGUACACCCUCCUACAACUAAAGAAAAUGCAUAACAGAACUAGAAAUAACAGAAAUAGGAAUUUAGUGGCUGACUUGGUCUUUCCUACUUAUCAGUGCAUGACCCUGACUUAGUGUUGGAGCACGAUCCCGGCUCCUCCCACAGACCUUGGGUGCAGCGGAACCAGCAAC
rnacentral:lncRNA from 1 species